AUACUUAUCUGGCAGCAGAGGAGAUACCAUGUUCACGAAAGUGGUUUUCCAAGGGCCAGGUUUAUCCAUUGCACUCUGGAUGUGCUGAUCCCCAUGAAUUGCCCGUAUGUGGGAAACUUGACUGCGUAAUUUGUGUAGUGAGGGAUUGCGUUCACGCUUUCCCUUG
rnacentral:snRNA from 2 species